rnacentral:lncRNA from 1 species
GUUCUAGUCGGUGAGCCUGGAAAAACCGACCGAGUUCGUUGUGAGCUCGUAAAACAACAAGUUUGGUUGUGAGCUUGGAAACAACCGACUGUAAUCCAAGGGGGUUAUAGUGAAUUCCCAAGUGAGACUUGGGGAGUGGACGUAGGAGCAAGGGUUAGCUCCGAACCACUAUAAAACCUUGUGUUUGUGUUGGAUUGUCUCUAUUCUUCUU